rnacentral:misc_RNA from 1 species
GGGAUACUAAGGUUUUCCUGAAAGGCAUCGUAGAAGACAAUCUUGGGAUCUUUUGCGGUAAUUAAAAACUAUAUCUUGGCUUCUUUGGUGUGUCUUAGGUGAUUUUAAUGAUAUUCUUGCUCUUCAUGAGAAGCAAGGAAAUAUUGCCCAUCCAAAUUGGUUGAUAGUAGGCUUUAGAAGUGCUAUUCAUGAUUGUAGUCUUUGUGAUUUAGGUAUGGUUGGGUAUGCUUUUACAUGGGAACGGAGUAGGGGCCAG